GACCCAGUGUGGUGUAGUGGUUUGACCACUGGACAGUGAUUCUAGAGUCCAAGGUUCAAGUCCCUGCUUGGCCA